CCUACGGGUGGCUGCAGUCGAGAAUCAUUCACAAUGGGGGAAACCCUGAUGGAGCGACGCCGCGUGGGGGAAUGAAGUUCUUCGGAUUUUAAACCCCUUUCAUGUGGGAGCAAAUUAAGAUGAUAGUACCACAAGAGGAAGAUACGGCCAACUCUGGGGCAGCUGUCGCGGUAAUACGGAGGGCUCAAGCAUUGUUCGGAAUCACUGUGCGUAAAGCGGGCGGAGGCCGGUUAGCAAGGCGUGUGUGAAAGGCGAGGGCUUAACCAGAGGACGGCACAUGAAACUGUGAGACUAGAGUAAUGGAGAGGGAAGCGGAAUUCUUGGUGUAGCAGUGAAAUGCGUAGAUAUCAAGAGGAACACUCAUGGCGAAGGCGGGUUGCUGGACCUUAACUGACGCUGAGGCACGAAAGCGAGGGGAGCGAACAGGAUUAGAUACCCGUGUAGUC
rnacentral:rRNA from 1 species